rnacentral:lncRNA from 1 species
AGUCAUAUUCUAAGAGAUAUAGCCUUUGGAUGUUUCACCCAUCAGGCUAUAACCGAGCGUGACGCAGGUAUAUGGAGGCAGAUAUAUCGAGGCAGCUGCUUAGCUAUUGUUCGUUUAUUUUUGUGAUGCGAAUACUAGGCUUAGGACUUGCCGGAUGUAAAAAAUUCUGUGGUUUGAUGGAUAUAAGUUCCUCAUUCUUGAAUGCAUCAACGUACAAUUUUUAUGUUGAUAAAAUACAUGAGUGCGUCAUAACUGUUGCCGAAUCAAUUUUGUUGUCUGCUGCAAAUCAAGAAAAAAAAUUAACGUGUGAUGAAAAUAAUGUUGAAGAUACGACAGAUGUUACCGUGUCAGGUGAUGGCACGUGGAAAAAACAUGGGUUUGCAUCAUUAUACGGUAUGAAUCUGUCAUGAGUUAUCCUGACUACGCCGAGAGAACUUUUUUUUGAGGGGUCAUAGCAGACGACGUGUCCACGCCUUAAUUUUCAAUAUUUUUCAAUCAAAAUUUCACAAACUACUUACAAAAUAUGUAUCUUUUAUGUGUUAAAUUGAUGGAAUGAAAUAUUCUGUUGAUUAAGUAAAAAAAAAUUCAUAAAAAUGUA